rnacentral:rRNA from 1 species
GACGAACGCUGGCGGCGUGCUUAACACAUGCAAGUCGAACGGAGAGGCCCCUUUGGGGGUACUCGAGUGGCGAACGGGUGAGUAACACGUGAGUAACCUGCCCUUGACUUCGGGAUAACUUCAGGAAACUGGGGCUAAUACCGGAUAGGAAUCCUUGCUGCAUGGUGGGGGUUGGAAAGCUUCGGCGGUUUUGGAUGGACUCGCGGCUUAUCAGCUUGUUGGUGGGGUAGUGGCUUACCAAGGCUUUGACGGGUAGCCGGCCUGAGAGGGCGACCGGCCACAUUGGGACUGAGAUACGGCCCAGACUCCUACGGGAGGCAGCAGUGGGGAAUAUUGCACAAUGGGCGGAAGCCUGAUGCAGCAACGCCGCGUGCGGGAGGACGGCCUUCGGGUUGUAAACCGCUUUCAGCAGGGGCGAAGCUUGUGGUGACGGUACCUGCAGAAGAAGCACCGGCUAACUACGUG